rnacentral:lncRNA from 1 species
GGUUACCUGCUCACUUUCUGUCUCUUUCCAAGCUGACAUGGAGCAAGCAGUAAUUUUCCAAGCGUGUCUCACCUGGUGUUUCUGUCACAGAUCUGAGGGACUCCAUGGGACCUACUUGGAGCUCAGGGCUGCUCAAGGGAUCACAGUGGGACCAAGGUGAGGGGCAGCCCUAUGGCAGCCUCAUUUUCCAGCCACCUUCCUGUGGUAUUGCUGUCAGACAAGGUGCGUGGGGAAGGAAAAAGCAUUCCUGUUCUUCAAGAUGAAUCACUGGCAUUGUGUUUUUGUGGACAAAGUGAUCGCCUGAGCUACUCUGCAACAGCUACAGCACCACAGGUAGUCUGGAAUACCUUUUUUUGUAGCACCUCAUGCUUAUUUAAGUCUUCACGUCUUUUUGUUCCAGGUUCAUGCACUUUCAAGUUUCUAAAUUUUACUAGCUAUGUAUAAAUAACCGGGAUCAGUUAUGCAGAUAUGAUUGGUUAUUGUGUUCCUUGCGAUACUGGUGGUUUUACAAACACUUUAUGCUGGACUUACUGAGCCUUAGUACAGAAGGGAAUCAGUUAUACCUCUUUUCAGAAAUGUUAGAGCUGCUUUCUCUAAUUUCAGUCAAAUUUUUAGCAGGAAUAUUGCACUGACCCUAUAAAAGCUGCAAAGAUUUUGAAUGCACAUUCACAUUACACUUCUGUGCAUUUGCUCCGGGCUGUGAGAAGGAUAAUUUAGAGAGGAUGGAGUUUUUCCCUUGCACAAAUUCAUUCGCAUUCACUUCAAAGACCAAAGUGAGCUUCAAACCAAGGUAUGCUCUAUGCAGGCUGUCUUCACAGGGAUGAGUUUUGCCCACCGUGACAGUACCGUCAUAGCCUUGCUCAGAUGAUAACUGAAAACGACUAUGCAGAGGACUGUGUUUCUCCUGAGAUGUACUAAAUGCCUGCUGCUCCGAGGACAUGGGAACCCUUUUAGCCCAUUUCAGGAUAAAACCUUCAAUAUUUAAGAUCCACUCCGGUGUUGCAAGCUCUUAAAAGUAAUGGGCUCUGCUGCUGUAAAGUGAUGUAACUCCAUUGACAUCUAGUUGUUCUCUGGGGCUGGAGCCCAGCAGAUUGAAAUGGGACUGUGCUGAUUUGCAUGAAGACCUGGCUGACUACACUUACAAAUCUGCCUUCUGUGAUCUCCUAUAAACAUGCCUAGUUAGGACACAGUUAAAGCUGAAACCAAACCAGCACUUAGGAAAAAAUGCAUCUGCAGCUCUUGGUCAUCAUCGUUGUAAUUAGGGCUUCAUCUGUUUUGCUUUGCUGCAAGGCCUUUAGAGCAUUAGGGAUGACUAGGGAUAUGAAGAGCAGAUUUAUUGUUAUUAGUUGUAAACCUUGUAGCACAACAGGAAAACAAAACAAAACACAGACAUUAAUCUGUGCCAUGACGUAAAACAUGCAAACAAAUCAUGACAAGUAGCAAUAAUGAGUCAUUUUGUGCUAUAUUUAAUUUCAAAAUGAUCAAACUGUUGGACUACAUAGUGUUAGAACAUACACUAUGGUUGUUCUGCUACAAUAGCUAUCUUCUGCUCUGAGCAGCGCCACCUCCUCCUCUCCUCAGGGCCAGCCUAGGUGGGGCUGUCACCAUGAACAAACCUACCUCUGCACAGAUUUGGGAAAGGUAAGGUCUCCCUGAAAUAAAAACCUCAUAUUGGCAGAAAAAUUCUGCUAU